rnacentral:rRNA from 1 species
AUACGGAGGGUGCAAGCGUUAUCCGGAUUCAUUGGGUUUAAAGGGUUCGCAGGCGGCGUAUUAAGUCAGUGGUGAAAUCCCGAGGCUCAACCUCGGAACUGCCAUUGAUACUGGUAUGCUAGAGUAUAGUUGGCGUUGGCGGAAUGUAUCAUGUAGCGGUGAAAUGCUUAGAUAUGAUACAGAACACCGAUCGCGAAGGCAGCUAACGAAACUAUAACUGACGCUCAGGAACGAAAGCGUGGGGAGCGAACAUGAUUAGAAACCCCAGUAGUCC